CAUUCGUGGUGCACUGGCUGUGACAAGAAAUAGCCUAAUGGGGCCCAUCGACGGGGAUCUAUCCCAAACUGACUGCGCAUCAAGCGAGCACUAUACCACUGGGCUACAUCCCGCCCCACCCCCUAAGAUUCUAAUGGAGUUUCAGACUUGAAUGUGAUAACAAAGCCAUACAAAUUGUAUGUGUGUGGCGUCAAUAACGAUUAGAACCUAGAUUAUAAAGUUUUAUAAGCACUGGUCCUGGUUGUGAGCUCUUGAUUAAUAGCUAAAGGUUGGCAGAAACGUAGCCCAGUGGUAAAGCAUUCGCUUGAGACUUUAAACGUCAUGGCAACAUCAUGCAUAUUGUAUGCGUGUGACACUAUUCGAGAUUUGAGUGCCCACUCGAUGCAUGGUCGGUCUGGUAUAUCAAAGGCUGUGGUAUGUGUUAUCCUGUCUGUGGGAUGGCGCAUAUAAAAGAUCCCUUGCUGCUAAUCGAAAAAGAGUAGCCCAUGAAGUGGCGACGGCGGGUUUCCUCUCUAAAUAUCUGUGUGGUCCUUAACCAUUUUGUCUGACGCCAUAUAACCAUAAAUAAAAUGUGUGUCGUUAAAUAAAACAUUUCUUUCUUUCUAUUAGAGAUUCGAGUCUAGACUAUAAGUUUUAUAAAUACAGGCCCUGGUUCGAGUGUAGACUAUACGUUUUAUAAGCACAGGCCCUGAUUCGAGUGUAGACUAUAAGUUUUAUAAAUACAGGCCCUGAUUCGAGUGUAGACUAUAAGUUUUAUAAGCACAGGCCCUGAUUCGAGUGUAGACUAUAAGUUUUAUAAGCACAGGCCCUGAUUCGAGUCUAGACUAUAAGUUUUAUAAGCACAGGCCCUGAUUCGAGUGUAGACUAUAAGUUUUAUAAAUACAGGCCCUGAUUCGAGUGUAGACUAAGUUUUAUAAGCACUGUAUAUUGGACCAUACUGAAUUGUUAUCAGUGCUUAUAUUGCAUUUCGACAAUUGUUAGUCAUAUGUAAAUCAAGAUGUUUGUAAGGUAAAUAUUCUUAGUCAUGUUCCACUAUAGGAUACUAAAACAAAACAGUUCAGCAAUUUGCUACUUCUGCAUUGUACUUUUUAAAAGUAUGGUACAUACAUUCAUUGACGUGACAGUUUGUAUGCAUUUCAGUUUGUAUUGAAAAUGUCCUGUUGUAUGCUGACAAAUGAUGGAUUUAGUUAAAACUUGUUAAUUUUCUUUUAUUUAAGCACAUCUAGCAAAUUGCUAAACGUUUUAGUCCUAGUAUAUUUUGUUUGAUGUAAGUGCCUCAAGUUGAUUAGCAGCAUGUUUGCCAAACUGUUUUACCCUUCUUCUACCCUUCCCUUCCCUCCCUUCUGCACUUCCCUGUCCUCUCCUUUCCUUCCUCCUUCUACCCUUCUCUUCCCUCCCUUCUGCACUUCCCUUUCCUUUCCUUUCCUUCCCUUCCCUCUUCUACCCUUCCCUUCCCUCCCUUCUGCACUUCCCUGUCCUCUCCUCCCCUUCCCUCUUCACACCACCCAUAGAAUAUCAGCUGAGUGUACACUGUCUUAUGUUCAAUGUAAACUAAAAAUACA